AGCAGCCGCGGUAAUUCCAGCUCCAAUAGCGUAUAUUAAAGUUGUUGCAGUUAAAAAGCUCGUAGUUGAAUUUCGGGAUCAAGGAAUCGGUCAUGCCUCGGUAUGUACUGGUUUUAUUGGUUCUCACCUUCUAAAGAACCAUGAUGUCAUUCAUUUGAUGUUAUGGGGAAUUAGGACUGUUACCUUGAAAAAAUUAGAGUGUUUAAAGCAGGCUUACGCUUGAAUACAUUAGCAUGGAAUAAUGAAAUAGGACAUCAGAUUCUAUUUUGUUGGUUUCUAGGAUCGAUGUAAUGAUUAAUAGGGAUAGUUGGGGGCAUUAGUAUUCAAUUGUCAGAGGUGAAAUUCUUGGAUUUAUUGAAGACUAACUACUGCGAAAGCAUUUGCCAAGGAUGUUUUCAUUAAUCAAGAACGAAAGUUAGGGGAUCGAAGACGAUCAGAUACCGUCGUAGUCUUAACCAUAAACUAUGCCGACUAGGGAUCGGAUGAUGUUAAUUUUUUUAAUGACUCAUUCGGCGCCUUA
rnacentral:misc_RNA from 1 species